rnacentral:rRNA from 1 species
GACGAACGCUGGCGGCGUGCUUAACACAUGCAAGUCGAACGGUAAGGCCCUUCGGGGUACACGAGUGGCGAACGGGUGAGUAACACGUGGGUGAUCUGCCCUGCACUUCGGGAUAAGCCUGGGAAACUGGGUCUAAUACCGGAGAGGACCACUGCCUGCAUGGGGGGUGGUGGAAAGCUGUUGCGGUGUGGGAUGGGCCCGCGGCCUAUCAGCUUGUUGGUGGGGUGAUGGCCUACCAAGGCGACGACGGGUAGCCGGCCUGGGAGGGUGACCGGCCACACUGGGACUGAGAUACGGCCCAGACUCCUACGGGAGGCAGCAGUGGGGAAUAUUGCACAAUGGGCGCAAGCCUGAUGCAGCGACGCCGCGUGAGGGAUGACGGCCUUCGGGUUGUAAACCUCUUUCAGCACCGACGAAGCGCAAGUGACGGUAGGUGCAGAAGAAGGACCGGCCAACUACGUGCCAGCCGCCGCUGUAA